rnacentral:rRNA from 1 species
GAUGAACGCUAGCGAUAGGCUUAACACAUGCAAGUCGAGGGGCAGCACAAGGUAGCUUGCUAUCUGGGUGGCGACCGGCGCACGGGUGCGUAACGCGUAUGCAACUUGCCCUAUACAGGAGGAUAACCCGUCGAAAGACGGACUAAUACUGCGUAUGCUCACAACUUGGCAUCAAGUGGUGAGGAAAGAAAUUCGGUAUAGGAUAGGCAUGCGUCCCAUUAGCUUGUUGGUGAGGUAACGGCUCACCAAGGCAACGAUGGGUAGGGGAACUGAGAGGUUUAUCCCCCACACUGGUACUGAGACACGGACCAGACUCCUACGGGAGGCAGCAGUGAGGAAUAUUGGUCAAUGGGCGCGAGCCUGAACCAGCCAAGUCGCGUGAAGGAUGACUGUCUUAUGGAUUGUAAACUUCUUUUAGACGGGAAUAACAAGAGUCACGGGUGACUCCCUGCAUGUACCGGAUGAAUAAGCAUCGGCUAACUCCGUG